UUACAGUCCACCAUAUUUACGUAAGUACUCUUUCAACCAUACCCUUACCUUUACCACACCACUCCACUUUUUUUCUCAUUAAUUUCCAUGUUCUUUGCUGUAUAGCCACCGCCUGCUACGGCAACGAUGCAUCGCAGUUUCCUUCCAAUAAUUUAUUUGCGGCGGCCGGCAAUGGAAUAUGGGACAAUGGGGCAUCCUGUGGGAGAGAGUAUUUGGUCAGGUGCAUUAGUGCCACGGUUGCCGGUUCUUGUCAACCAGGUCAAACGAUUCAAAUAAAAAUCGUUGAUUAUGCUCUUUCAACGACCACCCCGCCAUCGGCAAGCGG
rnacentral:misc_RNA from 1 species